GAUGAACGCUGGCGGCGUGCCUAAUACAUGCAAGUCGAGCGAACGGACGAGAAGCUUGCUUUUCUGAUGUUAGCGGCGGACGGGUGAGUAACACGUGGAUAACCUACCUAUAAGACUGGGAUAACUUCGGGAAACCGGAGCUAAUACCGGAUAAUAUUUUGAACCGCAUGGUUCAAAAGUGAAAGACGGUCUUGCUGUCACUUAUAGAUGGAUCCGCGCUGCAUUAGCUAGUUGGUAAGGUAACGGCUUACCAAGGCAACGAUGCAUAGCCGACCUGAGAGGGGGAGAGGCAGUAUGAGAGAUUGUCCAGAGACGGGAGCACGACGGAGAGAGGCAGUCGGGAAGCGUCAGGAAGGGUGGAAAGCCGUACGGAGCAAUGCGGAGUGAAGAAUUAAGGUGUAAGGAUCGGAAAACUGCGUUAUUGUAGAAAAACAGAUGUGUACGGAACUGUGCGCACAAGGACGGUAGGUAAUAAGACAACCACCACUCGCUACGGC
rnacentral:rRNA from 1 species